rnacentral:lncRNA from 10 species
GGAUUCCUUGGGAAAAGAUUUGCAGGCAGACUGGUGCAGUAUCAGGAAUGUGAUAUGCGACAUACACUUAGCACAUGCUGGUUCCUUUCUCUUCCUUCUGUAAGUCAGCACUGACCUUCAGUCCCUGUGCUGACAUCCCUACCCCUGCCUCACUGCCUAUUUGAGGAACUUUCCUACUCAGUGGUGCCUUAUUGAAAUGGAGCAUAUUCCUGCCACCCAUAGGUUGGAGCACCCACCCCUGCUGGACAAGACCCUUCCUGGGGGGGCCACCUUGGAACUCUGAAUAGAGACUUGAAGAGUGAGGAAGACUAAGAGGCUGCUGCCAUUUGAAGAUGAAGUGUACAAUACAACAGGGAAUCAAGUGAACAGAAAGUGUUGAUGGGGAUCCCAGCAGAUAGCCAACAAAAGGGAACCUCACUUCUACAGCAGCAAGGAACUGCAUUCUGCCAAAAACCUAAUGAACUUGGAAGCAGAUUAUUUUCUGGAGUCUGUAGCCUCUCUUUAGGCAACUCACUCCUGGUCCUGUUCUCUGCACAUGUGGGAAUUAUAAUGAGCACCAAGCAGAAUGAAUGAAAAUAAAUCCAGACCAAGAACCACUGAAGAAACUGCAACCCACAAGAGAAAACUAGCCAGAGUAUCUGCACAGGAAGGACAAGGAGACUUCUCUUUAUAAUAACAGAACCCAGAAGACGACCUACAAGGUUCUGCCCACAGGGGAGAUUGUGACCUAUUGCUGGCCCCAACACCAAGUCGAAGUUACACAUUUGCCUUGGCCUUGCCCUGAGAAGGUGCUGUGACAUAUUGCUGGGCCCAGCACCAAGGUGAUGGGACUCUCCUCUUUCUCCUGGAACCUGUCCACAGUGGGGAUUGUGACAUAUUGCUGGGCCCAGCACCACUGUGAUGUGACUCUCCUCUCGUGCCUGGGGCCAGCCCACUGGGGUAAUUGUGACAUAUAACUGGACCUAGCCCCUAGGUUAUGUGACUUACCUCUCCUUCCUGAGCCCUGCCCACAAGGGGGCCUCAUGACAUAUCUCUGGACCCCUCACCUAGGUGAUGUGAGUCUCUUGCCUGGGCCCACCCCUCAGGGUGUAUAGUGACAUAUUGCUGGACCCAACACCUAGGUGAUGUGACUCUUUUCUACUGCUUGGCUCUGCCCAAGGAGAAAUUGUGAUGUAUCACUGGGCCGAGCACCUAGGUGAUGUGACUCUCCUCUCCUGCCUGGCUCCAGCCAAAAGGGGGGAUUGUGACAUAUCACUGGACCCAACACCUAGGUGAUGGGACUCUCCUCUUUUGCCUGGGCCCACAUAUUUUGGGUAUUGUGACCUGGGUGAUGGGAGCCUACUGCUUGAACCCUACCCAGAGGGAGCUUUGUGACAUAUCUCUGCAUCCAUCACCUAGGAGAUGUGACUCUCCUCUCGUGCCUGGCCCCAGCCAAAAGGGGGGAUCGUGACAUGUCACUGGAUUCAUCACCUAGGUGAUGGGACUCCUCUUUUGUCUUGGUCCCACAUACUGUGGGUAUUGUGACAUAAUGCUGGGCCCAACACCUGGGUGAUGGAAGGCUCCUGCCUGGGCCCUGCUCACAGAGAGCCUUGUGACAGAUCUCUGCAUCCAUCAUCACCUAGAUGAUGUGACUCUCCUGUUCUGCCUGCACCCUGCCCAUGGGGAAGAUUGUAACAUAUCCCUGGGUGCUGUUCCCAGUCUUGCCUCAUGGCCUUUGCCCCAGCUGUGUCCUCUGCCCUGCAGGAUGCACCUCUGCUCCGUGUGGCUCCCUCCCACUCUCACUCUCCAAAUGCCCCGAACCCCUGAGCCCCACUGCAGCCCCACUGUACCCUGGCUCUGCAGCGCUGCUUCUUCAUGAUGUGUGUCUUCCAACAGCAGACGGGGCCAUGAAUGUGGAUGCCUCAUUCACUGCUGUGUGCCGGCAUCCAGAGCAGGACUGGAGCCCAGAGCAGGCACCUGACUGAUAGUUGUUGAAUGAGUACAGUAAUGAAUGACAAUGAAAGCACUGUGUAGAAACACUGGCUGAAUAGUACCUAGAAAGAGAAUGUCUCAAAUACCUACAUUAGCAAUGAAAAAAACACUGCUAAUUAAUGAACUAAGCAUCUAAUUCAAGAAACAAAGCAACACAUCUAACUUAUAGAAAAAGUGAAAAAAAUAAAAAACAUAAGAUCAAAAACUG